CCUGCUCUUACAUGACAUUUCCUUACAACAUUUCCCUCCAAGCUGUUUUGCUAGGACUUUCAGCUUAACUGAUUGGCUAGGUCCUAUGUGAGCCCUGUCAGCAAGGCACUGCCCUAACUAAAUCUUUGUUGUCCAGUGUUGCCAGGAAAAAUUAGCUGAGACUGAGACAAUGCCAGCUGGAAUGGGAUGCCAUCAAAGCAGGGAGCAGGAUGACUCCUGCCCUGGGUAAGAUGGUAGUUGAUUGUAUCUGAACAUGAGGGAGCUAAAAUAUUCAUGACCAUCAACACUUGCAACAGAAUGAGCCAAAACCUGCUCUAAAGGGCUGGACAAGACACUCCAUACAGAAGCUGAAAAAAUGGAUGAGGCUUAUGCUGGUUCAUAUCUGAUUCUCAGGAAGAGAUUAAGAAUAUGAAGACGGAAAGCAAUUCACACGAAAGAAGCUCCAGCAGAACUGUUUGUGAUUGUAAACAAGGAGAAAGGAACCCCUGAACAGCAACUUUCCAUAAGCUCAAGAAAACGGGGAGAGCUCCUGAGAUGGUGUUCCAAAGGACAAGAUGGUUCAGUAGGUAAACAUUCAUCUUGGAAAUCUGAGGAACAUUUGUAUUCCUUAUUCACAGUAUUCUGAAUGAAAUGAGGGCCACACCUAAUUUCAGAAUAAGAAAUAAAACAAUGAUUCCAAUGAUUUAGGAUUUGUUCUUUCAUUGGUCUUUUCCUCCCCUGCUGUUUUGUCAACAGCAGAGGGGAACACCGGAGCAGGGAAGAAUCUGACACUUCAACCUUUCAGAGACCAAACAAAAUCAAUACCAAAUGACAGAGAAGUCCUGAGUGAUUGUUUUGGGUUUUUUUAAAUAAUGACUCUCAGGAAGGAACUAGAUUUCUAAGUCACUAUCUCUGAUAUUGAGAUAUACUUCUAUCACCAAUUCAAAUAUACACUCCUGUAAUUUGACUGCAAAUUUAGGAACAGAAUAUUUAAUGUUAUCCACCACAGUCAGUAAGAUGAAGUCAUAAUAAUUAUUACCAGCAUAGCAAGAACUUCUCUGUCAGUAAGUGACAGAAUAUAACAAGGUGCUUUGUUGAUCUCUAUUAAAGUGCAUUGACUUGCCAAUAGUUACUAAGGAGCUAUUUUUUCUUUUCUGUGUAUAAGUUGAAAUAGCAGUUUUGAUAAGUUAUUGAAACUCUUUUGUUCAUUUUCUCUGUGCUCAUGCUGGGUCCUAACUAUAACCUUCCAAUGCAAUUUAAAUAAUCCACAAAAUAUGACACCUGCUGCUACCAGGGGUGGAUAUGCCAGGGAGGCAUUGUUGUUUCCACUGGAAACCUUACAAAGCUCUGUAGUUUUAUAUGGGAACAUAAAAUAUUACCCUAUGUUUUCCUUUGAGUGUAAAGUGCUUUAUGAAGCAAAAACUCCCAGAGUGAGCCUAAGGAACAAAAGAAAAAUUUUACAUGAAGUUUAGGAAGCCACUUGAUGAUUGUCACACAAGUUUGGUAAUGAGUACUGAAGUAUUCAAGACCUUGGAUGAGAACCAGUUUCCGCCAGUUCACAUGUAUUUUCCAUUGGUAUCAUUAGCGUUGGAAAGAGGAGCGUGGAAUUCCAGUUAUUUCAGUAUUUUCAUGCCGCAUGUGUGAUCUGA